GACGUAGGGGACGAGCGUUGUCCGGAUUCAUUGGGCGUAAAGCGCGCGUAGGCGGUUACGCAAGUCGGUUGUGAAAAUCCGGGGCUCAACCCCGGACUUGCAGUGGGUACGGGCAGACUGGAGUGUGGUAGGGGAGACUGGAAUUCCUGGUGUAGCGGUGGAAUGCGCAGAUAUCAGGAGGAACACCGAUGGCGAAGGCAGGUCUCUGGGCCACUACUGACGCUGAGAAGCGAAAGCAUGGGGAGCGAACAGG
rnacentral:rRNA from 1 species